rnacentral:rRNA from 1 species
UAGGGGGCAAGCGUUAUCCGGAUUUACUGGGUGUAAAGGGAGCGUAGACGGCAGCGCAAGUCUGGAGUGAAAUGCCGGGGCCCAACCCCGGAACUGCUUUGGAAACUGUGCAGCUUGAGUGCGGGAGAGGUAAGUGGAAUUCCUAGUGUAGCGGUGAAAUGCGUAGAUAUUAGGAGGAACACCAGUGGCGAAGGCGGCUUACUGGACCGCAACUGACAUUGAGGCUCGAAAGUGUGGGUAUCA